UACGUAGGGGGCAAGCGUUAUCCGGAAUGAUUGGGCGUAAAGCGUCUGUAGGUGGCUUUUUAAGUCCGCCGUCAAAUCCCAGGGCUCAACUCUGGACAGGCGGUGGAAACUACCAAGCUGGAGUACGGUAGGGGCAAAGGGAAUUUCCGGUGGAGCGGUGAAAUGCGUAGAGAUCGGAAAGAACACCAAUGGCGAAGGCAGCUCUCUGGGACGGUACUGACGCUGAGACGCGAAAGCGUGGGGAGCGAACAGG
rnacentral:rRNA from 1 species